GGGGGCUCUGGGUGGGUUUAGGAUUUGAGGGAGGGUAAUGGGGGCUCUGGGUGGGUUUAGGAUAUGAUGGAGGGUAAUGGGGGUCUCUGUGUGGGUUUAGGGUAAUGGAGUGGUUUAGGAUAUGAGGGAGGUAAUGGGGGCUCUGGGUGGGUUUAGGAUAUUGAGGAGUAAUGGAGGGCUCUGGAUGGAUUUAGGAUAUGAGGGAGGAUAAUGGGGGGCUCUGUGGGUUUAGGAUUUGAGGGAGGGUAAUGGGGGUCUCUGGGUGGGUUUAGGAUUUGAGGGAGGAUAAUGGGGGUCUCUGGGUGGGUUUAGGAUAUAAGGGAGGAUAAUGAGGGGCUCUGGGUGGGUUUAGGAUAUGAGGGAGGAUAAU